CAGUAGCCGCGGGAAUACGUAGGGGGCAAGCGUUAUCCGGAAUUACUGGGUGUAAAGGGAGCGUAGACGGUUAAACAAGUCUGAAGUGAAAUGCCGGGGCUCAACCCCGGAGCUGCUUUGGGAACUGUAGAACUGGAGUGUCGGAGGGGUAAGCGGAAUUCCCAGUGUAGCGGUGAAAUGCGUUGAGAUCGGAAAGAACACCAACGGCGAAAGCACUCUGCUGGGCCGACACUGACACUGAGAGACGAAAGCUAGGGGAGCAAAUGGGAUUAGAGACCCCCGUAGUCCCUGUCUCUUAUAC
rnacentral:rRNA from 1 species